ensembl:lncRNA
GAAUUUAAGGGAAAACCUGGGAAUUUGGGAACCCCCGCAGGGAUUUUUUUCACUUUUUCGGUACCUCCGUGGCCGCUUUUCCCGAAAAAACGGCCUCGAAGAGGGAAUUCUGCUCCAGGGAAUUCCGCUCCGGCUCGGCCCCAUCCCCGCGGGAGAGGCGGGAGCGCUUCGGGGCCUGAGGGGAAAACGGGGGAAAAGCGGGGAAAAUCGGGAAAAAUCAACAAAAACCGGGGGAAACGGGUGGAAAUCCCCCGGAAAAAAGGGAAUUUUGGGACUCACGGGGCUCCUGGCGGCUCCUCGGGGCCGGCCCCGCUUGCUCCGAGGGCGCAGAGAGGCCUCGAAGUCGCUGCCGGAGUCGGAAUCCUCCGGGAAUUCCCUGAGGGGAUUUGGGGGGNUGGGAGAGGCUGGGAGGGGCUGUAGGUGUUUGGGGGAUGGGGGUUCCCCGGUAGAUUAGUGGUCUCCUUUGGACUGGGGGUCUCUAAAGACCCCAAAAUUUGGGAAUUCUAUCGGGAAUUUGGGUUUUGGGGGGAGUCUAGAGGGGGCUGGAUCCCAUUUCCGAUCCCACUCCUGGCCCCAAAUCCCAUUCCCGCCCCAUUCCCAUCCCAAAUCCCGUUCGCAGCCCUGAUCCUAUUCCCGAUCCCAUUCCUGCCCCAUUCCUAUCCCAAGUCCCAUUCCCGAUCCCAUUUCCCUCCCAUUCUCGACUGCAAAUCCCAUUCCCAGCCCUGAUCCCAUUCCCGCCCCAUUUCGGUCCCAAAUCUCGAAAUCCCAUUCUCGAUCCCAUUCCCAUUCCUUAUCCCCCCAUCCCAAAUCCCAUUCCCAUCCCAAAUCCCGAUCCCAAACCCCGCUCCGCCCUCCGGGACCGCCCCGAUCCCAAAUCCCGAUUCCAAAACCUAUUCCCGAUCCCAGAUCCCAAAUCCCGAUCCCAGAUCCCAAAUCCCGAUCCCAAAUCCCGCUCCCCGCUCCGCCCGCCGGGGCCGUCCCGAUCCCAAAUCCCAUUCCCGAUCCCAAAUCCCAUUCCCGAUCCCGCUCCCCGCUCCGCCCGCCGGGGCCGUCCCGGGGCGGGGCCGGAGACAAAAGGGGAAAAGUUUGCGGGGCAGGGAAGAGAAGGAUCGGGAACUUUGGGAUCGCCGGGAAUCUCUGGGAUCGCCCGGCGGGGAUUUGGGAUCGCCCGGCGGGUUUGGGAUCGCCGGGAAUCUCUGGGAUCGCCGGGAGCCGAUCCCGGGAUGUGGCGGAGCUGAGCGAGGCCGCGGUGAGAGAGAAAUGGGGGAAAAAAUGGGAAAAAAAGGGAUUUGGGAUCGUGGGGAAACAGGGAUUGGGAUCGUGGGGAAACAGGGAUUUGGGAUCGUGGGGAAAAGGGAUUUGGGAUUGGGGAGAAGAGAUUUAGGGUUGGGGAAAGGGAUUUGGGAUCGGGGGAAGGGAUUUGGGAACGGGGAAUAGGGAAAAGAGGGAUUUGGGAUCGGGAGGAACCGGGAAUUGGGAUAGAAAACUGGGAAUUGGGGGCACCAGGAGUGGGAUUGGGAUCAGGGAGGGACAGCGGGAUUUGGGAUUUGGGACUGGGAGGACAACUGGGGAUUGGGAUGGGAGUUUGGGAGGGGCCAAAGGGAUUUGGGGGGAGCUGGGAUUUGGGAUUUGGGUGGAAAAGCCAAAAGCGGGAAUUGGGGGGAGGGGGGAAAGGGGGAAAACCGGGAAUGGGGGACACUGGGAAUGGGAUUUGGGACCCAGAACUGGGACAGGCGUUGGGAUUUGGGGACCUGGGACUGGGAUUUGAGGUCCCAAAUUGGGAUUUGGGGACCUGGGACUGGGAUUUGGGAUCUGGGACUGGAAUUUGGCGACACCGGGACUUGUCCCGUUCCCCCCCCCACCAUGUCUGGUUUUGGGGUGACCCCUGU